GUAUUUAAAGGGCGAAAGAGUAAAAACAAACAAGAGAUAAAUGUAUAGAAAUCAAGAAGCACCAAAUGGAUUAUUAACAUUUGUAACAUUCAACACAUUUCUAAAUGUUUCCAAAUUCUUCUUGAAUCAACACAUAUACAUAAUAAAAAUAAUAAAUAAUAAUAAUUACAUUUUAUUAUAUCACCCCUAAUUAAUUAUUAUGGUCAUUUAAGCAUUGUUCCACAUAAGUUGAAAUAGAAAAAAUAUUAUAAAUUACAAUGAUAAAAAAUUUAAAUUAUUUAAAAAAUAUAAUUGGCUAUCGUCGACACAAAACUC
rnacentral:lncRNA from 1 species